rnacentral:miRNA from 1 species
UGGAGAUCCUCCUGUCCGGCU